AGCAGUCCUAGCCUGCAUGCUGUAACCCUGGGCAACUGCAACUGGGCCCCUGGCUUUGUUCUCUGACCCCUCAAGAUUAGGAACCUGCUGUGCUGGAAGGACCUAGGUGUUUCUGGUCUCAUGGUGCCAGUGCUUCCAC